rnacentral:tRNA from 1 species
GGAGAGGUGCGAGAGCGGCCGAAUCGGCACGAUUGGAAAUCGUGUGCGGGGAGACCCGCCGUGGGUUCGAAUCCCACCCUCUCCG